AACAGACAAACAAAAAACCACUCUCUGC
rnacentral:piRNA from 1 species